UGCUAGGGCUAAAGUCACUGAACCGAGUCAAUUUAGGAUAUGCAUCUCCAUAUUCACAUCAUUUGGAAAGAGAUAGAGAUAUAUAUAUAUGUAAAAAAAAGAAUAGACGAAAGACAUUUUUCUUCCUAAAUAAUUUGGGUUUCUCUUCCCUCUGUUUUAGUCAAAUAUAUGAGAGUAGUUUAUAAAUUAGUUGAGCUGGAGUUACCAAACUUGGCUGUAUAUCUGAGCAGCCUGGAUGGGAAGCCUUUGCAACUGACAAGCAGCUGAUCAUCAGGGCGUUUCCUUCCCAUACCCAAACCAGCAAGGCAGACCUCUUCUACGUCUGUGGUCAACAACAUGGCCAAAAUAUUUGAUCCAAACACUUUGCAAAACCAAGGGCCUGAUACUGGAAUGGAACCUCCUCAAAUUCUUCGUGUUGAAAGCGGUGAUGUCAGCACAUCUGAAAGUUUUAACAUCAUGGAUAUGAAGUUUUCCUUACUUGAACAGAAAAUUGAUAAGCUGUUGACUCUGCAAGAGAAUGUUCUUAAGAAGCUUAACAGUGUUUCUCAAGAAAUAUGUUGCAUUGAAAAAGACAUUGAGAUGGUAAAGGUGGAAACAUCAGAACCUGGAUCAAGGAUGGAAAGAAACAAAAAACUGAGAAGUAACGAAAUGAAGAGACUUUGCCUUAAAAUGAAAAAAUCUCUUUGUGAUAUAAACAAGAAUGCAGAGCAGCAGGUUAAAAGACUAGAUGGACUUGAACAAAGUGUUUCUGGACUACAGAAACUUGUAGGGCCUCUGGUUGAGAAGGUGAAAACAUUAAUAAUUCAUAAUUCAAGCGUAAAACACCAUGUUCCAAAACGUAAAAUUUGCAGGGUAGGUGAUUAUAGAAAAGGAGUUGGAAAUCCCUUUAGGAUGCACAUUUUCUCGGAGACAACAGCUGGUGACCUGCUCAAGAAGAAAAAUGAAAAGGUCAUCAAAGAAAAGUUACAUUUGAAUGAAACAGAAACAAAAGAAAAGAAGCCACCAGAUUCAACAGAGGGGCCCAUCCAGAAGAGCCAGUCCUGCUCUCAAGAAGAAGAAGUUGAUAAGCUCAAUGAGGAAAAUGCCAAGAGGGAAAGUUCUGUUCUGCUUGAAGUGGAUCCUCCCAGAUUUCAUACUGAAGGAUCAGAGAAGGAAGAAGAAAGUUUGGCUUUCGAAAGUUAUUAUGAACAGAGGAGAAACUCUGUUCAGGAAGAACAGAAUAUAGAAGAAUAUAGGAGAAAUUCAGUUCAGGAAGAACAGAAUAUAGGAGAAUAUAGGAGAAACUCUGUUCAGGAGUCAUUGGCUCCAGCAGAACAGCAGGAAGAAGAUGCUGUUGAUGAUGCUUGUCAAAGGCUAAUUGUGCAAGAGAUAGAGAGUGAGCCCCCAACAGAUGAGGAGAGGAAGGAGGAACAUCAGGUGCUUAGAGAUGAACAACAAGAGGAGAGGGAGAACGAAGGGGUGGGAAAUGCUGAUAAGAGUGAAAAAAGUGUUGAGGAACCACCAGCUCCUUCCCAAAAGGAAGAUGAGGCAGAACAAAGCCAUGAUCAAGAGGCACCAGAGGGAAGGUGUAAAAGCUGCGAAAAAGAUGAUAUUCCUACUCCACCAGCACCAUUUGAUCACCGGAUUGUCUCAGCCAAAAGGGUGGGGAUCAACAAUUAUUAUAAUGUCAAUGAGGAUGAAAUUCUGGGAGGAGGGCGAUUUGGGCAAGUGCACAAAUGUGAAGAGAAAGCAACAGGUCUCAAGCUAGCAGCCAAAAUUAUAAAAGCAAAAGGUCCAAAACAGAAGGAUGAAGUUAAAAACGAAAUCAAUGUCAUGAACCAGCUGAAUCACGUGAACCUCAUCCAGCUAUAUGAUGCCUUUGAAUCUAAAAAUGACAUUGUACUUGUCAUGGAAUAUGUGGAAGGAGGAGAGUUAUUUGACCGAAUUAUUGAUGAAAACUACAAUUUGACAGAGAUGGAUACUAUCUCAUUCAUAAAACAGAUCUGCAAGGGAAUUCAGUACAUGCACCAAAUGUACAUUCUUCAUUUGGAUCUCAAGCCUGAGAAUAUCCUGUGUGUGAACCGAGAGGCAAAUCAAAUAAAAAUUAUUGAUUUUGGAUUGGCAAGAAGAUAUAAACCCAGAGAAAAGCUUCGAGUUAACUUUGGGACUCCAGAAUUUCUUGCUCCUGAAGUUGUGAAUUAUGAGUUUGUCUCUUUUCCUACAGACAUGUGGAGUUUAGGAGUCAUUGCUUAUAUGCUCCUCAGUGGAUUGUCUCCUUUUUUGGGUGAUGAUGACAACGAGACCCUCAACAAUAUCCUGGCCUGUAACUGGGAUUUUGAAGAAGAGGAAUUUCGAAAUGUUUCUGAUGAGGCCAAAGAUUUCAUCUCAAAGCUUCUCAUCAAGGAAAAAUGCUGGAGAUUAAGUGCAACUGCUGCCUUAAAACACCCAUGGUUAACAGACCACCAGCUCCACUACAGACUCCAGAAAAAGGCUAAAGGUCACUGUGUGUCUCAAGCACCCCUGGCUCAAUAACCUUUCUGAAAGAGCUGCCAAACAGAAGGUUUGUUUCAGGUCCCAAGUGUUUCUUCAGAUAAAAGCUGCUGUGUGGUUGCUGCUGCUAAGAGAUUUGAAAAUAUCAGCAGUCUUGGUGCUUUACCCCCCUGCCAUGACUGAGACUUCUCCUAAAUGGACCAACAGCACUUUUAGUUGCAGGACAGCAACUAAAGGACAACAAGUCCCAGAAUUGAGGAGCUGCUUCUUCUCUAUUCAGCUGUUGAAAGAAGGAAAAUAUUUCUCCAGGUUGUAGGAAGGUGUUUCUUCUGGAGCAGCAUGUUCUCCAUGUCUUGGAGUGCUACAUUAGCUUGGUUUCAUGAACUUAUCUCUAUCUAGUCUUAUAUCCUUAUUUUCCUAUCAAAGGCUUCUUGAAGUCCAAAUUAUCAUGGAAAAUUAACUGUUCCUCAUCUCAGCCCAGAAGAAAGUCUGUCACUAUGUCAUAUCUGUAGCCAAGGUUGAUUUGAAACCAGAGUCAAAUAAUUUUGGGGAAAAAAUUGCAGCAAAUUUAAAGCUGCCUUAUGUAGAAGAUUUGAAGUUUGUUUUUCCUAUCACAUUAAAAUGAGUUAAGGAUUAGCUCAACCAUAGUUAAAGCCAUGUAAAUGUAACACCAGUGGAAGUGAGAAAUGAGGCUUUCCUUGCAUGUAAGUGAAUUUGCUGCAUCUGUGAUAUGGUAUAUUUCAGGAUUUUUUAGCCUGAUGAAUUACUGCUUGCUUUAAAUACACUUGGAUUAAUUAAACAAGAAACAGAACAAGGCACUAUUCAUUUGUACCCAUGCAAACUCUGUUCUCCAAUAUGCAAGUAGAAUUCAGAGUUAUUUUAACAGCAGUGAUUUUAUAACAACUAAUCUGUUUAAUGCUAAUAUGACUGAUUAGGACCAUUGGCAAAGAGGAGACUUAGUGCUUUGCCCAUUAUAACCUCUGAGUAUAGGCCCAAAUGAAAAUCCACUGUUUUUCUGAAGUGUUCUUAUCUUGCGUCCAAGACUUUCUGACUCUUAACUAGGUAAAAAACUGGGACUCAGAACUGCUGAAUUCUUUACCUGAGAUUGUUUGAAUGUGGCAAAUCAUUAAGUGAAUCUGAGCCUUAGUUUCCUAGUCCCGAGGUUAAAAUAUUCCCUGCUCUAUAUGGCUUUCUUACUGAUUAGUUUCAGAACUACAUGAAUGAAAAUGAUAGUAUUUUAUUCAAUGAUGCUGAUAUAUUGUGGUGCCUUUAGAUUUUUUUGUUUAACCCAAUUCUAAUCAAACUACAUAUUAACAUAGCUAUCUCUAUAUAUUUAUCUAUAUAUUUCAUAGGUUUAUAUAUUUAAAUUCUCUCUUUUUUAAAAGGGGAUCAACAUAAAGACAAAACAGUAUUAUUCAUCACCACCCAAUGAUUGGUUUUCACACCUUUGUCCUUUCUGGAUAGCAUUCAUAUUGAAAUAAAAGGGGCCCAUUAGUGGGACAUAGUGGCCAUCACAUUCUCUACAGCCAGUUCUAUCCAAUGUUUUAAAGCCAUUGUAGUAGAUCUCUUUAGACUGUUCCUGUAAAUGAAUAGGGCUUCUUAUAGCUGUGAAAUCUGAGAAAUGCUGAUGUGUUGUACUAGUGGUUGCAAAUGCAUGAGACCCAUUACUACUAUCACACACUGACACACCAUGUAACCUUUAUACAAUGUAGAGCACUGCCACCUUCAAGUCCUCAUCUGUAGUCUUAACUGAAGUUAACUUUGACAGGGAGAAAUUGGAGUUUAUUUGGGAAAAGACUGAAUAGUCUCAAAGCAAGAAAACGAGCAUAUAAUAUUUAGGUAGAAACUGGGCUGCUUGUUUUCGCUACCUUUCUGUUAGGUCUGGAGUUCCCACUCCUGUUCAUUGUAGCUUUUUGUCCAGUAAACAACUCGAUGAUCAGACUAAAAUGCAGCAAACCACUUUGGAAUGACAGGAUGUCAUUAUGCACUUUAGUGCCAGUAUUGUAGGAUUGGGCUGGGACUUUGUUUGUCCUGUGGUAUAUUUUACAUGGAUAUGAAUAAAUUGCUUGUAAUUUUGAAUUUUUUUCACUAUACUAAAAUAGCAGUGUGACUACAGUCUUUUCUGCUUGUUGCUCAGUUGAAUUAAGGGGAUUUAUCAUUUGUUGAUAUAUACAUCUGAGUAGUAAUUAAGAGCUUAGUGCCAUGAAGAUCAGCCCAGUGUUAGAGUGUACUGUGCUGAGUCAACCAUAAAUCCUCCAGGAGCCCUAGGAGAACAUGGCCUCUGUUAAGCACAUCCACACAGUGCUCUGUCAGAAACAGGCACAUGUGGGAGGGUGGAAUAGCUGGAUGUAUUUCCCUCACAUUGAGAAGUUAGGCCCUUUGACAAGGCAUGUGUUGAAGAGAGGACACCUCACUAGCUUCUGGCUUGUGCAACAGGGCAGUGUGCUUACAUAAUCAAGGCAUUAACUUUCAUUCUCAAUAACAUGGAUAAUGAUGGUCCCACUCUAGAGUCCUAUCUGUAAACUGCCCCACUGUUUCAUCCUUGGAACAGCUCCUGCAGUGGGGUGUGAGGUUGAGGGGGGGGCAGUUGGAGGAGUUUGGACUGAGGAAGUCUCUACAGUGACUGAAGAUGCCAUUUUGUGCCUAGGGUUAAACACAAGCAUGGCCCUGCAGGUGUACAGUGGAGGAGGAAAGAAUCCCAAAUGCACUUCUUAUUGCCCUAUAGACUCUGAAUCUGCAGCACUGAGUCAGAAAGGAGGUGCAUUACCAAGAUUCUUAUUGUUAUUAAGGGUAAAAAAAUUAUACUACUGCGUAAUCAUCACUGCUAUGUGUUCCAACGUGCCUGAGAAAAGUGUUUCCAGAGAGGUUCAUUGGUAUCUUGUAUCCACCUCAGUAAGAGGAAGAACUUCUUUACAUUGACGGUAGCAGGGCACUGGAACAGGCUGCCCAGGGAGGUCGUGGAGUUUCCCUCUCUGGAGACAUUCAAACUCCACCUGGAUGCAUUCCUGCUCUAGGUGGCCCUGCCUUGGCAUGGACAUUGGACUGGAUGAUCUCCAAAGGUCCCUUCCAACCUUAACAAUUCUGUGAUCUUUUCUGGCUGUUGUAAUUUUAGUUAAAUAAUCACUUGACACAGCUUCUUUUUAAUGGCUUUCUAAUUCUGUCUCAUUGCACUUUGAGCAGCAUGCUGUUUUGUGUGUGCGUGCGCGUGUGCAAGUUUGAUUUUGGUUCUGUUUUACCCUGCCCUAUCCCUGGAAACAUUCAAGGUUGAGUUGGAGAGGGCUUUGAGCAACCUGAUUUAGUGGAAGAUGUCAUUGCUCAUUGCAGAAGGGUUGGUCUAGACGAUCUUUAAAGGUCCCUUCCAACACAAACUAUUCUAUGAUUCUAUGAUUUUAUGAUUUAAAUGUGUUCUGUAAUGACUAAUAGCUAAAGCCUUCUGUGUUAAAUUAUUGUUUUGACACAUCAUUAUUUAUUUUCUACUAGGUAAUAAUAAUAAGGUGCCUAGGUUCUAAUAAGUCACCGGCAUCUGUUUGAGUUUGCUUAUAAUAAUCUUUUUAUGUAUUGGCUUAUGUGGUUGCAUUUGGAGGCUGUGAAUUAUUGUACUUGUGAGCAGAUUUGUGUGUGAAAGGUACUAUACUAAUGUUGUUACUCCAUUUAGCUGAAUAUCCACAGACAGUCAGAGGCGACUGCAGAUAACUCAAGAAUGAUAUAGAAACAUCAAUUGUGGUGGAAGGGGUAAAAUGCCAAGAUGCAGUCUUUGUUUUGUGUACACCAUAGUAUUCUUCCUGACAUGUAAAAAUUAAAGGCCGUUUCAUGGGAACAUGGCAGCUAUCACCUGACUCCCAUAAAAAUUAACAUGCUGUUAUUCCCAUUCCUAUAGAUACAGGGGGUAUACUAGAUGCAAGAUAUACUAGAGUAGUUUAACAUUGACAUCAGGAUUAGAAUCAAAAAGGCACAAGAUGGGACAUUACAGGUUUUCCAACUCUUUUUAUAUGUUGUACAUUGCAGAGGUUAUGAAAUGGGUGAAAACUUUUACUGCAGAAAGAUGUCCAUACUAUUAUGUCUAUAUUUGUGAGCACCUGCAGCCAGUCACUCCUCUGGGUACCCUCACAGCAUAAGCAGUUGACAACUCGGGAUAAUCCACUCUGGAGACUACAAAAGGAGUUAUUUUUAAUUUUAUUUUCAUAUUCCUUCUAAUGUUAGAAGCUGAAUAAAGUUAAAGCCAAACUAAAUACUGCUAUAGCUUGAUUCCAAGCAGGAAUAACAGUGCAGCUCUACAGAAUUAAAUAAGGGAAGUACUAGAUCCACCUUUUGUGAUGUGAGUAGUACAAGAGCCCAAUUUAACUUCCCUGCCUCCCUGCCAAAAAAAAAAAUCUACUUUGCACCAAUCCUGAUCAGUAAAAAUAAAAAAGAACCUUAAUUUUUUUAACAGUUAAGGAAUCUCAAUCAAGAGACAGUUUUUCUGCAGUGGUUAAAUUGCUGCAGUAAGAGUCAAGGUAUUUUAGCAUUUUGAAUUUAAUGCUGACACUACAAAUCACCGUCGGUCUCUUUCAGCAAAAUGUCCCUCACCAACAGGAGUUGUGAGAAAAGAAGGUGUUUGUCAGCUCUUCUCCACUAAUGGAGAUCUGGAAGCAUUGCAUGCCCUUCCCCUAGACCCACCAGUAAGCAGGAGAGUUCUCAGUUUGGGAAUGGAAUGUGUGAUAGCAAUGGAAGUUUUGCACCCACAGCAGUGAUAAACGAAUGAGCAUUGAUGCUUCUAACUCCUUCCAGGGGGAUGAUGCAUCUUCAUGUACUACUUUUAUCAUCACCGAUAAAUACUUGUUCUUGUAUCUCCUGUGAAUAAAACUAAACACUGCAUGAAUCCAUUUAGGGACGUUAGACUGUUUCACCUUCCAUGAAGGCUUGGUAGCUGAACAACUAACUACCUGUUUCAAACUUAGAUGACAAUUGGUAGAGAUAACACUUUGUAAAUAUGUUUUUUAGCUAUGUCCAUAGAGUUAGUGAUCACAUUUUGGUGUGGCAGAACUAAUGUUUGUGUACCUCACAGCAACUUCUCUUGAAUUUAAGUGACAGGUGUGUGGCAACUACAUCACAAAGCGCGUGGAUUUUCAUGUACCUUAUCACUUUGGUUUGAAUAUCUGGUUUUGUAGAUUAACUCAUGUAUCUCUGGUAUGUGUUCUUUUGUGAAAACAUGAAGCAAUCUUGUAAAAAGAUGACUGAGGAAUAAAUGCAGAUUUUGUUUA